CAGGGAUUAACACCAUUUUUGCUCUGUUUCUUCAAUUGCAAGUGACUACUACAACCUGAAGAUUAUAACCCGUUAGAACCCCAAGGCUCUUACAACUUCAGAUGGCUGGGCUGGCCUGCACUGUGCAGACUGCAGGGGCUGGGGGUGUGCAAUGUGUGUAUAAUGAGAAGAUGCUCCGUGGACUGCGUGGCUCGUAGCGUUACGCAGUCACACGAAAGCGGGUUCCUCUCGGCCCUGAAUCUGUGAUCCCCUUUGCAGUUCUCUGAUUGCCACCAGCAGAAGACAGGAGUAAUGUCAGUGGUUUUUUUUUAUGGCUCGUUGCUCGUUGCCUAGCAGCGUUGAUCAACAAAAGUACAACCUUUUCUUUUCCUGUAACCUCGGUGAACCCAGGCUUGGACAGGGAUCACCAGCAGGGAACAAGGGGUUCUGAAGUCGUGUGAAACUGCUGCUCGGUGUCUGUUAGCAGCAUCUGAGGGAAACCGCCUCUUCUUGACCUCUUUGUUACCUUUGCCCUCUGGUCUUCCUUCUCUCUCUCAUCAAAUCUUAGAAUAAAGCAGGCACCAUCCUAGGAAGAUGUGGAGGAUGAGAAGUUUAGAGACAAGUCGACCAUGCUAAGGUGUAUCCUGCUGUUUUUCGGGAAAAAGAGCUGAGCUGAUUCUGAGACCGUGGUGUCAGACCCUCCUCUCAUGGAAGGAGAAACAGACUUCAGCCGUCACAGAAAGAAGUCUUCAGAAAGUCCCCCUCAGAAAGCCUGUGAUGAGAAGAUGUGAGGGACUUGGCAGUCUUACUGGGGAGGCAAAAUAAUUGAUCUGAGUUUGUUAGGACAUUGCAGCUUGUUACAAGUGAGAAACUGGACACACCCACAGAAAGAAUAGAGCAAGAGGAGACAAGGCACCUUCCCAGAAGAGUAACAAUCCAAAGUUUACACUUCCAGUGAAAUGCUGCCUGAGAAGUGCUGGAUAUAAAAAGGCGACUCGAGUGCCUCUGUGAUGACACACCAAUUGCUGCAGCUCCACAGACACUGUAGAGGCUGGCAGACCUCCGGAUAUAGUCCGAGAGGAGAGAGAGAGGCCACCUCUGGUUGACCAUGACCUCCCAACCCAAUGUCAAAGCUUUUCCUUCACCUACAUAGUCUCCAGCAAAAGAGGAGCAGUGGAUUUCAACUCCCAAGCUGUUAACAGCAUCAUGUACAAGGUACUGAUAGAGGCCCUAAAAAUUAGUAUCCACGCCUCAGUAGAAAUAACCAUUUUUCAGUUGUUUAGGCCUUAACACUGCCCUAACUGAGGGCAAGGGCACUCCACAUGUAUUUAAUGUUUACAUUAAUUCAUCUGAGGAUAAUUUUUAUCUAAUGAAUACCCAGAUUAUUUUUUUCCUUAGUUAGUAUUUAAAUAGUCCAACUUCCUUUUAGGAAGUUGAGUAUCUUUUUUUUUUUUCAGUGGACUGAAUAUACCUUUGCUUCUUGGAAAUUUUUCCGCUCUCAGGGUUUCCUUCCUUAGUGUCCUCUGUGCAUUUUAGUUAUUUCAUUAAUCUUUGGUAAAAAAAUAGGCUUUUCUACAAUGCUGAUGAGUACAUGAUGUUUUUACAAUUUAAAAAAAUAGAUUUUCACUACAAUAUUUUAGUGCACCAUGUUCUUUUAUUCACUGCAUAGCUCCUCUUUAAGGAAGGAGUUUUCCUGAUUUCAUUGGGGCCACUCCCAAACAAGGCCAGGUUCACUGAACUAGUGCUUAAGGAUCUGAUUUUUAUGAACUGCAUGUCUGAUUAGAGUGCUCAGCAGAGGCAGAAUUGACCAAGAGGGUUGGUACAAGCACAGAGCCCACAAGGUGAAGUCCCGUAGCCAUCCUAGGACUAUUUGCCAUAUUUCUUCAUCAGUAGUGGUAACCAAUUUUUCAAUUUCAAUCAUUGAUCACAUCUUCCCUUUUUUCUUCAUAUCGUCUUGCCUUGUUGGAGAAUCCUUUCUCCCUGCCUCCAAAUCAACUCUGAAUAUACUUAGGGUGGAAAAAAAAAAGAGAGGAAGGAAAACCAAAAGGAAACAAGAAUAUAGCCAACCUUUUUAAUUAGAGUAUAUUGUACUUCCAAACUGGAUACACUAGAAAUUGGCAAUGCAACAUAAGAUGCAAAGAAAUAUACCAGUUACUGUCAAAAUGACCCUGUACAGCCUUAUAAUGCAAAAAGCUUUAUACAAUACAAAUUUUUAUUAAUGUACACAAACCUUGACAGAAUGAUAUUUGAACAUAAUACAACAAGUAAAAAAAGAAAAGGACAGAAGAAAGAAAAAAGUGCUGAGAACUUUAACUGAAUUA